rnacentral:misc_RNA from 1 species
GGUUAUUUAAAUUUUCUCAACGAACGAUGUCUUUUCCCUUUGGACCUUAAAUCUAAUUUUAAAGCCAACAGAAGAGGGCUUACAAGUUGUCACGUUGUUUUGACAUUUGCAAGUACAUAGGAAGGAAGGUUCCAUUACAAUUUUUAGAAGUUCCAUGCUAAUAAUUAUUUUAGAGAGACAAAAGGGAAUGAUCUCCAGCCUGACUCAUUUGCUGAGAGUCUCAAACACAGCUGAAAAGUCAAGGUCUCCCAAGCCCAAGCUCCUUGCCUUCUUGAAUGCCUCAUUUGCAGCAGCUGCAACUGGCAUUGGCACUGCAUUCUCAUCUCCGAGUGCAAGAGCCAGCCUCAUGUCCUUCUGCUGAUGUUUCAGAGGAAAUGCGGGUGGGUAGCUAUUUUUUAUCAUGGCAGGUCCUUUCAUUUUGAACAUUGGGUUAGCUAUGGCUCCAAGAUCCAACACAUCGAGAAGGGUAUGAGGGUCCAAUCCACUUUUGUCAGCCAGUACAAUUCCUUCUGAAAACGCAUUCAUCAUACUGCCCA